AUUGAACGCUGGCAGCAUGCCUUACACAUGCAAGUCGAACGGUAACGCGGGGCAACCUGGCGACGAGUGGCGAACGGGUGAGUAAAGCAUCGGAACGUGCCCAGUAGUGGGGGAUAGACCGGCGAAAGCCGGAUUAAUACCGCAUACGACCUAUGGGGGAAAGGGGGGGAGCGCAAGAGCUCUCGCAUUUGGCACGGCCGAUGUCAGAUUAGGUAGUUGGGGGGGUAAAGGCCUACCAAGCCGACGAUCUGUAGCUGGUCUGAGAGGACGACCAGCCACACUGGGACUGAGACACGGCCCAGACUCCUACGGGAGGCAGCAGUGGGGAAUUUUGGACAAUGGGCGCAAGCCUGAUCCAGCCAUGCCGCGUGCGGGAAGAAGGCCUUCGGGUUGUAAACCGCUUUUGUCAGGGAAGAAAUCCUUUGGGUUAAUACCUCGGGGGGAUGACGGUACCUGAAGAAUAAGCACCGGCUAACUACGUGCCAGCAGCCGCCGUAA
rnacentral:rRNA from 1 species